rnacentral:tRNA from 1 species
GGCCCCUUCAUCUAGCGGUUAGGAUACCACCCUUUCACGGUGGCUACAGGGGUUCAAAUCCCCUAGGGGUCACCA